UUCAUCAAUUCUGCUGAACCAAAACUGCAUAAGUGGCGAAAUGUUUCAAGAAGCGUUCGGUCGCGUAGGACGCGGCGAAAGCCUGCAAAACAUUCAGGGUUAAAAAAUUUGGCAAAGAUCUGAUAGGAACGCGACUCCUAUCAGUUUUU
rnacentral:sRNA from 1 species